rnacentral:lncRNA from 1 species
GAGGUGGCGGCCAGUGGAGGAGGUUAGCUUGUUGGAAGCCAUGCCCUUCAAGGACUCUGGGCUUGUGCCCUCCUCCGUCCUUUCCUUCCUGUGUGUCACCAGUAGCUCUGCUCACCACACAGUCCUCUCCAUCACUGUCUGCCUCAACACAGGCCAGAAAGCAACAGAGGAAAGGAAGAGGGAGGAGAUCUCUGAAAUUAUGGUCAGCGGGACACUUUCAGCGGGAAAACAUCUUGCCAGACCUCCUUAGGUCACUGCUUUGUGACAUCACUGAGACAACCUGGUCUAAGCACACAAAUAAGCUAAGUUCCUACCUCAUGUGACUUUGUUUACUUUAGUACAAUUUUCUAAAAUACACUUAUAUGUUUAUUUAUGAGUUUUUACUUGAUUGUAUAUAUUGCACCAGGUGCAGGCAGUCUCCUCAGAGGACAAAGGAGAACACCAGAACCUUUGAAACUGGAGUUACAGAUGGCUGUUCACUACCAUGAUGGAGCUGGGAACUCAAUCCAGCUCAAAUGUCAUGGCUGCAGCACCUGUGGAUGUCCUGCUGCUAUGAAGCAAAACUUAAAAAUGGAAACCAUGUGUGCAGACUGCUGGAGAGAGAGAGAGAGAGAGAGAGAGAGAGAGAGAAGAAGAAGAAGAAGAAGAAGAAGAAGAAGAAGAAGAAGAAGAAGAAGAAGAAGAAGAAGAAGAAGAAGAAGAAGAAGAAAGAAGAAAAAGA